GACGUAGGGGGCGAGCGUUGUCCGGAUUUAUUGGGCGUAAAGCGUGCGUAGGCGGCUGCGCAAGUCGGGUGUGAAACCCCGGGGCUCAACCCCGGAACUGCAUCCGAUACUGCGUGGCUAGAGGUAGGUAGGGGAGAUCGGAAUUCCUGGUGUAGCGGUGAAAUGCGCAGAUAUCAGGAGGAACACCGGUGGCGAAGGCGGAUCUCUGGGCCUUACCUGACGCUCAGGCACGAAAGCUAGGGGAGCGAACAGG
rnacentral:rRNA from 3 species